AGCGAACGCUGGCGGCAGGCCUAACACAUGCAAGUCGAACGGACCUUUCGGGGUUAGUGGCGGACGGGUGAGUAACACGUGGGAACGUGCCUUUAGGUUCGGAAUAGCUCCUGGAAACGGGUGGUAAUGCCGAAUGUGCCCUUCGGGGGAGAGAUUUAUCGCCUUUAGAGCGGCCCGCGUCUGAUUAGCUAGUUGGUGAGGUAAAGGCUCACCAAGGCGACGACCAGUAGCUGGUCUGAGAGGAUGACCAGCCACAUUGGGACUGAGACACGGCCCAAACUCCUACGGGAGGCAGCAGUGGGGAAUCUUGCGCAAUGGGCGAAAGCCUGACGCAGCCAUGCCGCGUGGAUGAUGAAGGUCUUAGGAUUGUAAAAUCCUUUCACCGGUGAAGAUAAUGACUGUAGCCGGAGAAGAAGCCCCGGCUAACUUCGUGCCAGCCGCCGCGGUAAUAC
rnacentral:rRNA from 1 species